rnacentral:rRNA from 1 species
AAGAGACAGCAGCAGCCGCGGUAAUACAGAGGGUGCAAGCGUUAAUCGGAAUUACUGGGCGUAAAGCGCGCGUAGGUGGUUUGUUAAGUUGGAUGUGAAAUCCCCGGGCUCAACCUGGGAACUGCAUCCAAAACUGGCAAGCUAGAGUAUGGUAGAGGGUGGUGGAAUUUCCUGUGUAGCGGUGAAAUGCGUAGAUAUAGGAAGGAACACCAGUGGCGAAGGCGACCACCUGGACUGAUACUGACACUGAGGUGCGAAAGCGUGGGGAGCAAACAGGAUUAGAUACCCCUGUAGUCCCUGUCUCUUAUAA